UUCGUGCUUCUGUGAGCUAUGUGUGAUGGCAGUUGUUUCUUCUUUUUAACUGAAGAAGAAGAAGAAGAAACAACUGCCAUCACACAUAGCUCACAGAAGCACGAA
rnacentral:pre_miRNA from 1 species